GUCUCCUUACAUACAUCAUGAAGAGUUCUUCUUCCUUUGAAUAGAGAACAUGAAGUUGCCUAAGUAACAAAAAUGUUUUAUGAGAUGCUUUUUGGAAAGGAAUAGGACCUUCCUCACUUAAAGCUUUCUGAAACUUUGUGGAUUAUACCUCACAAAUGACCUGCAGCGUAGUCUAUCUAAUUUUCUCCAUAUCCUGAUGGUCACUUCAUGGAAUGGCUACUCAUCCAGCUAUGUAGUCUUACACAGGAUGUUUUUUUUUCCCCCCGCAGUUUACUCAAACAGUACACAAUUGGAUUGUCUCUGAAUUGGAAGUUCCUUUUUCAGGAAGAGUGAAGGUGACUUUUAAGCCAGAUUCACUGGUCUGAUUUUCAAACUGCUAGAACACUUGCAUGGAAAUGUGUCACAUCAGUUAUGAACCU